rnacentral:misc_RNA from 1 species
UCCGGUGUCGCACCCCGUACGGUGCAGCAGGGAGGCAUUGCAGAGCGCGCGCGCGUGCACGUGUGUGUGUUUGUGCUAGCACGUCUACUAGACGAGUCUUCAGUGCGCUUCGUCUCUCGCAUAGGCACACCCAUGAUGCUCCGUGGAACCAGUUGCGCCCUGGCGCGCAGCUUCCGCGCUAAUCUCAAGUACCCCUCGCUCGUGUCGUACAACAAGCUCCCGUGGGAGGUGGUGAGUCAUGACAGCACGAAGCUGCACAUGCACCUCGCCCCAAACUACGAGCAACUUCUGACGCUCGCCGCGGUGACAGAUGUGCCGCACUUGGCGUUGGCGUCGCACCUCAUCGUGCCGGAGGCGGAGCGGCUGCGCGUGAUGCCCGGUGUAGUGUACCUUCUAGGUGGCCAGGCUGCUCACGAGAACCCGUCGAGCUUCACGGCGUACCGGAUCGCCGAUCCGACCUCGUUGCAGUAUUACGGUCGCAUCCACCAUAACCUGGCGCCGAUUCGGCGGGUGGACAUGUGCACCUCAGCUGACUUGCGGCUCCUCUGCCUCGCCAUGCACUUUGAUGGUGUACUCACGAACACAUCGGCUGGCUCCACCCUUGAUGGCGUCACCACCGCGUCGCAGGAGGGCCAUUUUUCGCUCUUCUACUUCUUCCGCCCCAAUCGUCCGGCGAACGAGCUGACGCAGCCGUUUGAGAAGUUCUACCAACACCGGCCGUCCCUCGCCAGUUUAGACGCCUUCAACGCAGCCUCGCCUGGCAAGGCGGAGUCAUGGACACCGGUGCUGCAGGCGCCGCGGCGUACGGCGGAGAAGGCGAGACUUACCCCGGCAGAGCCGUAUCGCCCGCCGCAGAAUUAUCUGAUGGGGCUGGCAGAGCGUCUCGGUGUCCGCCCUGGCAACGCUUUUGGCCGUCGAUCCCUGAUGUGGGGCACAUGGUUCUAGCUCCUCUCCGCUGGUCUCCUCACCAACGCCACCCUCUCAUGGGUGGUUCCACUGUGGAUUCGACCGAUGUUGUGGCUGCCACUCACGUGACAUGCGACGCCGGCAGCGUGGCGCACCUCUGUUGGGGCUUUUUCUGCUUUCUGUUGUGGUGGUACCGGCUGUCUUGGCGUAAGCUCUCUGUGCUUGUAUGGCGCUGGUGCUGUGGGUGUUCGCAGUGGGCACGCGGCAUUCCCACACGGCAGUGAGUGCAAGAGGCAUUGGCGGUUCCUCAGAGCCCCUCUUUCUUUCGCUAACCUACGCUGAAAAAAAAGAAGUACGCCUCGGCAAGAAACGCCCCGCUGCGCAUCCCCUCGUUCUCCGCCGCCUUAUGAACCCCUCCCCCUCCCUCGGGAGGACACGGUGACCUCGUUGGAGGCGGCCGUGCUGGCUUUGGUGAGUCACUGUCGUGAGGGUUUUGUGCCGUGUCAACAGACUCACCAACCGCACAUGCGGCGUGUGUGGCAGAAUGUCCGGCGAAGUGGUGACGUUUUUUUUUUCAUAACACAUGGGGCUCAGCGUGAAUGACUUCCGCCGCCCCUUACCCACUGUCUGGGCCUUCGCUCUUCUCUGACAUCCUCCGCUCCUCUUCCGCCAUCUGUAUCGCGCUGCACUGGCUUCACCUCCAUCCUGUGUCUCCUGCGUGUGGACGCAAG